rnacentral:rRNA from 1 species
AUGUCAAAUCAUCAUGCCCCUUAUGUCUUGGGCAACACACGUGCUACAAUGGCUCAAACAAAGUGACGCAAUACCGCGAGGUGGAGCAAACCACAAAAAUGAGUCUCAGUUCGGAUUGCAGGCUGCAACCCGCCUGCAUGAAGUUGGAAUCGCUAGUAAUCGCAAAUCAGCAUGUUGCGGUGAAUACGUUCCCGGGUCUU